CUGGAGAGAGGAUAAAACAUGGGGGGAGGGGACAUUGCAUUUACCGACAAUAUUUCAGUCGGUAAUUAAUCUUCCUUUUCCCAAAAUUGUAGGCGAGGGGGGGGGGAGGUAAUAAAAUUUUCCGGACAUACCAUUCUUCACUAACUUUCGAAUUAAUGUACCGUAAUUUGUUAAAUUUUAUGGUAAUAUUUUCGUCAAUUUAUCAGAAUUUUUGCUAAGACUAUUACUUUUUAAUUCGAGCCAAAAAUUUGCCGAUAAAUCCGCUAUUUUGCCGAUAAGACGUUUUCAGGGGUGUCACCCCCCCCCCCUAUAUAGUGACGGCCCUGCAUGGAGUCAAGAUGGUGAUGCGGCCUAACCGCAGUUCUGCAGCCCUUGUAGGCUACGGUAGAAGACAAGAGCUCUCUCUCUCUCUCUCUCUCUCUCUCUCUCUCUCUCUCUCUCUCUCUCUCUCUC